rnacentral:rRNA from 1 species
CCUACGGGAGGCAGCAGUGGGGAAUAUUGGACAAUGUGGGAAACCCUGCUCCAGCGACGCCGCGUGAGUGAAGAAGUAUCUCGGUACGUAAAGAUCUAUCAGCAGGAAAGAAAAUGACGGUAUCUGUCUAAACAGCUACGGAUAACUACGUGCCAGCAGCCGCGGUAAUACGUAGGGGGAAAGCGUUAUCCGGAUUUACUGGGGGUAAAGGGAGCGUAGACGGCAUCGCAAGUCUGGAGUGAAAUGCCGGGGCCCAACCCCGGAACUGCUCUGGAAACUGUGAAGUUGGAGUGCAGGAGAGGUAAGCGGAAUUCCUGGUGUAGCGGUGAAAUGCGUAGAUAUCAGGAAGAACACCGGCGGCGAAGGCAGCUUACUGGACUGUAACUGACGUUGAGGCUCGAAGGCGUGGGGAGCAAACAGGAUUAGAUACCCUGGUAGUC